UCUAGAGAAAGACGACUAAAGGUAAACGUGAAGGAAAGAAAUUGUUUGUUCUCACAGCUGUUAAUUAAAAAGAUACCAAUAAAAAAAGUAGAGUCUCAUAGCUCAGCUGGUUAGAGCGCUACACUGAUAAUGUAGAGGUCGGCAGUUCGAGUCUGCCUGAGACUACUAAUUUUUAUUACAAUUGGAAAUUCUAGAAGUUUGAGUAGUAGUUAAGUACUAACUACUGACUACUAUGUACUAACUUUUAGUAUAUGGGGGAUUAGCUCAGCUGGCUAGAGCGCCUGCCUUGCACGCAGGAGGUCAUCGGUUCGACUCCGAUAUUCUCCACAACGGCUUAACGUUUAUAUUGAUUUAUCAUUAUAAAUUCGCCACACGAUCAUUGACAUAUUGAAAAAGAUACAUGAAACAUUAGAUAUUUAUAUCUAAUAGAAGAAGUAAAUUAAAAAUUGUUGCGAGCUAGCAAUAAUUAAGAGUAAACUCAUUAAAAAGACAAAAGUGCAA
rnacentral:tRNA from 1 species